UGGGGAAUCUUGCACAAUGGGGGCAACCCUGAUGCAGCGACGCCGCGUGAGCGAUGAAGCCCUUCGGGGCGUAAAGCUCUUUCGACCGGAACGAUAAUGACGGUACCGGGAGAAGAAGCUGCGGCUAACUACGUGCCAGCAGCCGCGGUAAUACGUAGGCAGCAAGCGUUGUUCGGAGUUACUGGGCGUAAAGAGUGCGUAGGCGGUUUUCUAAGUUCGGUGUGAAAUCUCCCGGCUUAACUGGGAGGGUGCGCCGAAGACUGGGAAGCUGGAGCGUGGGAAAGGCAGGCGGAAUUCCUGGUGUAGCGGUGAAAUGCGUAGAUAUCAGGAGGAACGCCGGCGGUGUAGACGGCUUGCUAGACCAUAACUGACGCUGAGGCACGAAAGCGUGGGUAGCAAACA
rnacentral:rRNA from 1 species